rnacentral:lncRNA from 1 species
AGGAACCUACGAGUUUCGCAUUUAACACACGUCAGUGCCAUAAACCCUCAGGACUGCAGCAGAGUCAACACACAUCUGCAUUGUGGCAAAUUGGUGUUCGGCUUCUUUUGUGGUUAGAAACAGAUGUGUGUGCCUAUCAGCAUUUAUCUCGUGGUUGGUCUUAUAAUCACUUGCUAUAUAUUGUGACCCUGUGCAAUAAAGCAGAAUUGUACAUACAUAGUUCUAUUUGGGUACCUGAAAUUCCUAAGCUCAAUUACAAUGUAGAUAAACUUGUAAGGUUUAGAGGACUGGCCUCUCGAGUAAGUGGUUAACAGAGAAUGAACCCUGGUUCCAGGGUGGUAUGAGCCGAGUUGGUGUGGUCACAGCUGAAUCAGACUGUUAGCAGUAAGGCAUUCAUACUUGGAUUCCCUAUGUCAAAUGUAUUUUUUUCUCAUAUACAAAUAAAUGCAUAUCAAAAAUGAAAAAAAAAAGAA